rnacentral:rRNA from 1 species
UAGGUUAAUAAAUUGAUUGAGAUUGAUCCUGUCUUUAUUUUAAGUGAUUAGUUAUUUGAUAAUAUUAAAUAUAAGUUUUUGCGUGUUAAUUUAUUUAUCU